rnacentral:rRNA from 1 species
GUGAGGAAUAUUGGUCAAUGGGCGGGAGCCUGAACCAGCCAAGUCGCGUGAAGGAAGAAGGAUCUAUGGUUCGUAAACUUCUUUUGCAGGGGAAUAAAGUGCAGGACGUGUCCUGUUUUGUAUGUACCCUGAGAAUAAGGAUCGGCUAACUCCGUGCCAGCAGCCGCGGUAAUACGGAGGAUCCGAGCGUUAUCCGGAUUUAUUGUGUUUAAAGGGUGCGUAGGUGGUUUGAUAAGUCAGCGGUGAAAGUUUGCAGCUUAACUGUAAAAAUGCCGUUGAAACUGUCGGACUUGAGUGUAAAUGAGGUAGGCGGAAUGCGUGGUGUAGCGGUGAAAUGCAUAGAUAUCACGCAGAACUCCGAUUGCGAAGGCAGCUUACUAAGCUACAACUGACACUGAAGCACGAAAGCGUGGGGAUCAAACAGGAUUAGAAACCCUGGUAGUCC